AGUGAAUGUCUUGUUAAUAUUAACAGAUUACAUCAUUCAAUCAUGUAAACAACACUGUCUUAACAGCAUCCGCCCAAAUCUCUGGCGACUUCUCUAAAGCUCAUUCCCAAUAUCAAAGUAAAAUGGCGAAUACGACUACGAGCCCCGACGGAGAUGGCGGAGAAAGCGGCGGUUCGGUUAGGGAGCAUGACAGAUACCUACCAAUAGCGAAUAUAAGCAGGAUCAUGAAGAGGGCGUUGCCUCCCAACGGAAAGAUUGGGAAAGAUGCUAAAGACACUGUCCAAGAAUGCGUCUCUGAGUUCAUCAGCUUCAUCACCAGCGAGGCAAGUGAUAAGUGCCAGAAAGAGAAAAGGAAAACUGUGAAUGGUGAGGAUUUGCUGUGGGCAAUGUCAACAUUAGGAUUUGAAGAUUACUUGGAACCCUUAAAGGUGUACCUUGCGAGGUACAGAGAGGUAAGUUACAUUUCACUUCUGCUUUUAAGCUCUUGCUACGUGAGACUGAUUCUGUCUUUUCAUUUACCUGUGUAUGUUGCUGAAACAAUCCUUCUGUUGCAGUUGGGAGGGGGAUAAUAAGGGCUCAGGAAAGAGCGGGGAUAGUAACAACAGAGAUGCAGCUGGGGGUGUUUCCGGUGAAGAGUUGCCGAGCUGGUGAGGCGAGAAGUUGCAAGUGAACUCUCUAGAGAUAAAGAACAACAUCAAAAUGAUCAAGGGAUAUUAGAGAUCAAUGAUUUGCCAUUAGAUUUGAGCUGGUCGACUACUUCUAUUUAGAGAUUCUAUUUCGGGUUUAUUGUCAGUUUCGGUUAUGUGAUCAUUUGAGAACUUUGGUUAUCUGUUUCCGGUUUAGUUGGUUGUAGUUGAAGAUAUAUGAGAAGUAUUUGAAAGAAGAAAAAGUUUCUCCACAAUCAUCUAUCAUCUCUUAACUUCGUUUAGUGGAUUUCAAAAACUGAAUGGUAACGCCAUAAUGUACAAGAUCUCAUGACCGACUGUUACAACUAUUAUGUUUUUUUUCUCUCUCGUCUUUGUAACCAGUGUUAUAGAAAUUUAAUACUAUCCAUAUACACUUUUCAUUAUCAAACUAUGGAUUAGAAACAAUUUACUGGAUCUA